CACCCGAUCGCUGGCUCUCUCUCUAAACCCUUCACUCUCAAAUAUUACGAUUCAACCUCAGAGUGAUUUCGAUUUCGAAGUUCUUUCUCUCUCUCUCGAUUUGGAACCUCCACCGCCACCACCAUCUGCAUCAUUGACUAAGGCACCAUGGCAAUUGAGUACCUCGAGGACAACAAGACUCAGACGGAGAUCAUUGAUAUCCUUCACAACACCUAUGCUCGGCUGAUCCCUUUUGAGCAAAAGUUCAGUUGGAGAUAAUUGAGCUGCUUCUGAAAGCAUGUGAUGCUGUGGAGAACUAUGUCAAAAAGGUUAGAAACAUUUUAGUAGCUUAAGUAAGAUGAACAAUCCAUUUUGUGACUCCAAUUUAUGCUCCUCUCUUUUUUUGAUUCUGUUAUUUCAAUUCU